rnacentral:rRNA from 1 species
AACGAACGCUGGCGGCAUGCCUAACACAUGCAAGUCGAACGAGACCUUCGGGUCUAGUGGCGCACGGGUGCGUAACGCGUGGGAACCUGCCCUUAGGUUCGGAAUAACUCCCCGAAAGGGGUGCUAAUACCGGAUAAUGUCUUCGGACCAAAGAUUUAUCGCCUUUGGAUGGGCCCGCGUUGGAUUAGCUAGUUGGUAGGGUAAAAGCCUACCAAGGCGACGAUCCAUAGCUGGUCUGAGAGGAUGAUCAGCCACACUGGGACUGAGACACGGUCCAGACUCCUACGGGAGGCAGCAGUGGGGAAUACUGGACAAUGGGCGAAAGCCUGAUCCAGCAAUGCCGCGUGAGUGAUGAAGGCCUUAGGGUUGUAAAGCUCUUUUACCCGGGAUGAUAAUGACAGUACCGGGAGAAUAAGCUCCGGCUAACUCCGUG